UGCGCAGGCGGAAAAUUAAGUCAGAAGUGAAAGCCCCGAGCUCAACUUGGGAACUGCUUUUGAUACUGAUUUUCUUGAAUAUAGUUGAGGUAGGCGGAAUACAACAUGUAGCGGUGAAAUGCAUAGAUAUGUUGUAGAACACCAAUUGCGAAGGCAGCUUACUAAACUAUUAUUGACGCUGAGGCACGAAAGCGUGGGGAGCGAACAGGAUUAGAUACCCUGGUAGUCC
rnacentral:rRNA from 1 species